rnacentral:rRNA from 1 species
GACGAACGCUGGCGGCGUGCUUAACACAUGCAAGUCGAGCGGAAAGGCCACUUCGGUGGUACUCGAGCGGCGAACGGGUGAGUAACACGUGAGUAAUCUGCCCCUGGCUUUGGGAUAGCCACCGGAAACGGUGAUUAAUACCGGAUAUGACCACUUCUCGCAUGGGUUGUGGUGGAAAGUUUUUCGGCCAGGGAUGUGCUCGCGGCCUAUCAGCUUGAUGGUGAGGUAAUGGCUCACCAUGGCUUCGACGGGUAGCCGGCCUGAGAGGGUGACCGGUCACACUGGGACUGAGACACGGCCCAGACUCCUACGGGAGGCAGCAGUGGGGAAUAUUGGACAAUGGGCGGAAGCCUGAUCCAGCAACGCCGCGUGAGGGAUGACGGCCUUCGGGUUGUAAACCUCUUUCAGUACCGACGAAGCGCAAGUGACGGUAGGUACAGAAGAAGCACCGGCCAACUACGUGCCAGCCGCCGCGGUAACAC